UACGGAGGGAGCUAGCGUUGUUCGGAAUUACUGGGCGUAAAGCGCACGUAGGCGGCUUUGUAAGUUAGAGGUGAAAGCCCGGGGCUCAACUCCGGAACUGCCUUUAAGACUGCAUCGCUUGAAUCCAGGAGAGGUGAGUGGAAUUCCGAGUGUAGAGGUGAAAUUCGUAGAUAUUCGGGAAGAAACACCAGUGGCGAAGGACGGCUGCACUGGAGCUGGUAUU
rnacentral:rRNA from 1 species